AAACCAACAGGGAUUGCCUUAGUAACGGCGAGUGAAGCGGCAAAAGCUCAAAUUUGAAAUCUGGCACCUUCGGUGUCCGAGUUGUAAUUUGAAGAAGGUAACUUUGGAAUUGGCUCUUGUCUAUGUUCCUUGGAACAGGACGUCACAGAGGGUGAGAAUCCCGUGCGAUGAGAUGCCCAAUUCUAUGUAAAGUGCUUUCGAAGAGUCGAGUUGUUUGGGAAUGCAGCUCUAAGUGGGUGGUAAAUUCCAUCUAAAGCUAAAUAUUGGCGAGAGACCGAUAGCGAACAAGUACAGUGAUGGAAAGAUGAAAAGAACUUUGAAAAGAGAGUGAAAAAGUACGUGAAAUUGUUGAAAGGGAAGGGCUUGAGAUCAGACUUGGUAUUUUGCGAUCCUUUCCUUCUUGGUUGGGUUCUCCGCAGCUUACUGGGCCAGCAUCGGUUUGGAUGGUAGGAUAAUGACUAAGGAAUGUGGCACUACUUCGGGGAAAAAGACUC
rnacentral:rRNA from 1 species